rnacentral:rRNA from 1 species
GCAACUGCUGGCACAAAAUUAGUUAUUAAUUUUAAUAUUACUAAAUCUUAAUUUCUUAAAUUUUUAAUAUUAAUUACUACUUCUAUCCUUUAAAUAUUAUCCAAAUAAUUAAAAUUUACCACUAAAAUUUAUAUGUAAAAUAAACUCAUAUUAAAUUCCUUUAAACUAUAAAAAUUUAUU